rnacentral:rRNA from 1 species
AUGUUCCUUGUUUUCUGCCAGCCUUACGAAGAUGAAGAAUCCAGCCAACCACCGGAGAGCAUCAGCACCUUAUUAUCUUCUAGAGGAAUGACCGACCAAGUAACGCAACUUAAAGCUCUGAAGGGCAUAUUGAUUGAUGCAACUGCAGAACCAAUUAUGCUAUCAUAUCCAUUUCUAAGCUCCAUCACAGGAAAUUUCUCUCGAGAAAUCGGCCGUGGUGGUUUCGGAAUUGUUUACCAGGGAGACCUUGGGACUAGGAAGGUUGCUGUGAAGAAACUUUCCAUCAUACCAGAGAGGUUCUCGGACACACUCUUUGUGGAAGAGAUUAAGUGUUUAAUAAAAGCAAAGCACAAUAAUGUGGUCAGAUUUCUAGGUUAUUGUGCAGAUACACAGGGGGAAUUGAUAUUAUUCAACGGAAUGCAUGUGUUGUCAGAGCUACCACAACGGCUGUUAUGCUUCGAGUAUUUUCCUAAUGGAAAUCUUGGGAAGUAUCUUGAAGAUAAAUCUCAUAAAGAUGAAUGGAAAAUUCGCCAUCAAAUGAUUAGGGAAUUUGUCAUGGUUUGA